ACAUACCCCAAUCAGUAUCAGAAUGUAACUUGCGUUAACUCGCACAUAUAUAACUUUCAACAACGGAUCUCUUGGCUCUCGCAUCGAUGAAGAACGCAGCGAAAUGCGAUAAGUAAUGUGAAUUGCAGAAUUCAGUGAAUCAUCGAAUCUUUGAACGCACCUUGCGCCCCUUGGCAUUCCGAGGGGCACGCCUGUUUGAGUGUCGUGAACUCCUCCACCCCCUACCUUUUUCGAAGGGUAUCGGGCUGGGAAUUGGGAGCUUGCGGGUCCCUGGUCGAUCCGCUCUCCUUGAAUACAUUAGCGAAGCCCUUGCGGCCUUGGUGUGAUAGUCAUCUACGCCUCGGCUUAGCGAACCCACGGACGUCGCUUCCAACCGUCUCGCAAGAGACAACGACCUACCAACUUGACCCCAAAUCAGGCGGGACUACCCGCUGAACUUAAGCAUAUCAAUAAGCGGAGGAAAAGAAACUAACAAGGAUUCCCCUAGUAACUGCGAGUGAAGCGGGAUGAGCUCAAAUUUAAAAUCUGGCGUCUUCGGCGUCCGAGUUGUAAUUUAGAGAAGCGUCUUCCGCGC
rnacentral:rRNA from 1 species